UCCUUGGUAGCUCAGAUGGUAAAGCAUCUGCCUACAAUGCAGGAGACCCGGGUUCGAUCCCUGGGUUGGGAA
rnacentral:tRNA from 1 species